rnacentral:miRNA from 1 species
UAUCUCCUUCUAUUCCCCGG